rnacentral:pre_miRNA from 1 species
AUAACAUUUGGACAGUCGGUCUACCGAGCAAUUACACACGCUUGGUGGAAGAUCUUCUCAUUGUCCG